rnacentral:misc_RNA from 1 species
AAAAAAAAAAAAAAAACCCAAAAUAAUAAAAAUAAAAGAAAACUCACUGAGAUGAUCAAAAUGAAAAGGGAAAAGAAAAGAUAAGAGAAGUCCUAACAAACUAUGAAGUCAUGGAACCACACCAACCAUGUUGGUAGCAAUACAAAUUUAGUAGGCGAAUUCCUUCUCUCUACCAAAGAAAGAAAGAAAAAUAAAGAAACAACAAAACAAAGCUACAGAAUUAUCAGUACAGCUACAGAAGAACCUAGAUUAUAAAGAAAU